GGAAGAAAGGGGAGGAUAUUCCAGUGUCUUUAACAUCAAAGACGCUUUGCUUACUUCAUGACUUGAGAUCAGGGUUAACCAUUCUUGAAUAUGUUGCAGGUGGAAAAAGAGGAAAACCUAGUGAUUAUUUGAGGCCUUUACUGAGCCAGUCACAUCUCCUAAACCAGUUAGAGGAGUUCAUUAUCUGACAUGGUAAAAUGCAGAUGUCCAAACUGAAAUGCAAUUCAACCCUUAUAAAGACAUUUUCUGAUCCUGACAUUUACUGACCCUGACUUUCUAUGUCUGUAAAUUGGGAAUAAUGAUACCUAUCUCACUGGGUUAAAUGAGAACAUGUACAUACUGUGCUCAGCAUAGUGUCUGGGAUCUGUGGCAGCAGCUAUUUUCAUGGCAAUUAUUCUGUAUGUAUGACAUAACUUUAAAACUUCUCUAGGGACCAACAAGGCAAUGCAAUCAAACACCAGCACAGCCAAUAAGGGGCAAUACGGAGUGGUGGGGACUGUGGCAAACUGGAGAAUCCUUACCUGUCCAAAGAGGGCAACAGCUCCUCUUUAGUUUCAGCUAUUAGCUACUGAGCAAGAACUCAAAACAAGUGCUUUCUGACUUUUCCAGAAAUGCUGGAAAUCCUAAUGCAUAAUUUUGUUAUCCAAUUCAAAUAAAAAACUGCAAACAAUAACAACCACCAGAAUUAGCAACACUAUGGAACACAAAAAACAGGUUCUGGAGCAAAGCUAGGCUGAAAGCAGCUAAAACAAAGUUUUACAAAGACCAAGC
rnacentral:lncRNA from 10 species